rnacentral:rRNA from 1 species
UGGGGAAUAUUGCACAAUGGGCGGAAGCCUGAUGCAGCGACGCCGCGUGGGGGAUGAAGGCCUUCGGGUUGUAAACUCCUUUCGACAGGGACGAAGCUUUUGUGACGGUACCUGUAUAAGAAGCACCGGCUAACUACGUGCCAGCAGCCGCGGUAAUACGUAGGGGGCGAGCGUUGUCCGGAAUUACUGGGCGUAAAGAGCUCGUAGGUGGUUUGUCGCGUCGUCUGUGAAAUUCCGGGGCUUAACUCCGGGCGUGCAAGCGAUACGGGCUGACUUGAGUGCUGUAGGGGAGACUGGGAUUCCUGGUGUAGCGGUGAAAUGCGCAGAUAUCAGGAGGAACACCGAUGGCGAAGGCAGGUCUCUGGGCAGUAACUGACGCUGAGGUGCGAAAGCAUGGGUAGCGAACAGG